UACGGAGGGUGCAAGCGUUGUUCGGCAUCAUUGGGCGUAAAGCGCGUGUCGGCGGCUUGGCAAGUCGGUUGUGAAAUCCCGGGGCCCAACCCCGGAACUGCAUUCGAAACUGCCUCGCUAGAGUCCCGGAGAGGAAGGCGGAAUUCCCGGUGUAGAGGUGAAAUUCGUAGAUAUCGGGAGGAACACCAGCGGCGAAGGCGGCCUUCUGGACGGUGACUGACGCUGAGACGCGAAAGCGUGGGGAGCAAAUAGG
rnacentral:rRNA from 1 species